rnacentral:rRNA from 1 species
UACGUAGGGGGCAAGCGUUGUCCGGAUUUAUUGGGCGUAAAGAGCGUGUAGGCGGCCAUACAGGUCCGUUGUGAAAACUGGGAGGCUUAACCUCCAGACGUCGAUGGAAACCGUAUGGCUAGAGUCCGGAAGAGGAGAGUGGAAUUCCUGGUGUAGCGGUGAAAUGCGCAGAUAUCAGGAAGAACACCCGUGGCGAAGGCGGCUCUCUGGGACGGUACUGACGCUGAGACGCGAAAGCGUGGGGAGCGAACAGG